UGAGCCCCGCACCUGUAGCUCCGCGCGUCGCUGGGAAAUCGUCCUCCAGGCUGCUGGCACCUGGGCAGCCGGGGAGCUCUGGGGGAAGGGACAGCUUCUCCCCGCGUCUGCCGCCUCCUGGCUGCUUCCUGAGCCCCCCUGCGAGAGAAUAGAAAAUAAGCAUCCGGAUGCUGGAAUCUCAGGCUGUGUCCAUCGCUGCUCCCAAAGGGGUAAAUACACUCAGCGGAAUGCAUGGCUGCCUUCUGCAUGCAGGAUGGGAGGCGGACGGAGCUUGCCCACCUCAGCACUUAAAAAGCACACUCUUUGCCGCUUCCAUCCAGAAAUAAAAAGAUCGAGUUCUCCGAUGACGACCAUCUUCCUGGGUCCCAGCUGCCUUAUCCAUCUUCACUUCCCCAAGAGUAACCCCUUUUGCUCCCGGUGCAUGGAGCCUGCUUCUCCCUCUGCCUGUGUCUCUGCCUCUCUCUCUCUCUCUCUCUCUCUCU